rnacentral:rRNA from 1 species
AACGAACGCUGGCGGCAGGCUUAACACAUGCAAGUCGAGCGCAUCCUUCGGGGUGAGCGGCAGACGGGUGAGUAACGCGUGGGAAUCUACCUUUUGCUACGGAAUAGCUCCGGGAAACUGGAAUUAAUACCGUAUGUGCCCUUAGGGGGAAAGAUUUAUCGGCAAGAGAUGAGCCCGCGUUGGAUUAGCUAGUUGGUGGGGUAAAGGCCUACCAAGGCGACGAUCCAUAGCUGGUCUGAGAGGAUGAUCAGCCACAUUGGGACUGAGACACGGCCCAAACUCCUACGGGAGGCAGCAGUGGGGAAUAUUGGACAAUGGGCGCAAGCCUGUUCCAGCCAUGCCGCGUGAGUGAUGAAGGCCUUAGGGUUGUAAAGCUCUUUCACCGGAGAAGAUAAUGACGGUAUCCGGAGAAGAAGCCCCGGCUAACUUCGUG